rnacentral:lncRNA from 1 species
UUUUUCGAGACUAUACUAACUUGAGAUAUCAGAGCUAGUUCUUUCUUAGUAGAGUGUGGAUUAUCCCUCUACUUGAAGGUAUACUAGCAUUUUUUAGAGGUUGCGGAUUACCCUCCUCUAAACUGAUACUUCUUUUGUUACAAUAUUGGAGUCUUAUUCUUCUUGGAGAGAGUGGAUUACCCCUCUUCUUGAAAUUCUUAAGGCAUUUUAUAGGUUGUGGAUUAUCCUCCUAUAAACCAAUAUUACCUCUUAUAGGGUCAUUUUUGUCCUUCUUUUAGAAUGGCCGGAAGUCAAGACAUUAGUAUGACAGAAAGUUCGGAGUCUAAGUUAGAUGCUAUUAUGAAUGCCCUCGCUCCGUUAUCACAAAGAACUGCAGAGAUUGAAGGAGUGGUGGCAAGGCUUCAUAAUGAUGGAGUAUCUGGGAUAGCACAAUCUAAACUACAUCAGCCUCAAAUUUCGGCACUUGGAGAAACAACUUUACCUCAGAUUCGACAAGAACCACUAGUUCUACAACAUAAAGAGCCUCGAGUUAGCCUUCCAG